GUGAGACAGUUCGGUCCCUAUCCGUCGUGGGCGUAGGAAAUUUGAGAGGAGCUGUCCUUAGUACGAGAGGACCGGGAUGGACGCACCGCUGGUGUACCAGUUGUUCUGCCAAGGGCAUAGCUGGGUAGCUAUGUGCGGAAGGGAUAAGUGCUGAAAGCAUCUAAGCAUGAAGCCCCCCUCAAGAUGAGAUUUCCCAUAGCGUAAGCUAGUAAGAUCCCUGAAAGAUGAUCAGGUUGAUAGGUUCGAGGUGGAAGCAUGGUGACAUGUGGAGCUGACGAAUACUAAUAGAUCGAGGACUUAACCAU
rnacentral:rRNA from 1 species